CCCUUGAAAGCCCCGACGGCA
rnacentral:tRNA from 1 species